AUUAAUGCAAAGUUUGAAAACAAAUUGUGUAAAAUCUAAUAUCUCGAUUGCAAUAAUUCAAAAUGGAUGAUAAUUGUGCAGCAAUUCUAACCUAACUUUUGUCGUGUUCCGUGGAAUAAAGACAACAUCGAUUUGAGCUAUGCUGAAAUGGUAGAGGUUUGGCUGGCAAAUGGUCGUGAAAAUAAAAGUAUUUAUGAUUUUG